GGCCGCCAGUGGUGGUACCCAUGGCUGGCGAUCUUGUUUUCCCCGCACUCGCCGAGCGGGGGAUGGGGGGACGCAGUGUGGGAGCUCGGCCCCCUAGCUGGGCUCUCCCCCGGGGGCCCCCAAUCGCUCACACGGCGGGGGAGGCGGGGAGCUCCUCGGCCUUGGGUGCCUUAAGUUGGGGGUGAGCAGUGGUUAGUUCACCCUUAACCUAGAAGUCUUUGCUAUUUCUAGGGGAGGCUAGGGGCUUAGGGGAGACGUCUAGGAGGACGUCUUUCUAUAAAUUACCCUUGAAUAGAUGCAGUCUUAAUCAUGUAUUCUGAACCCAAGGUCUCCCUCAAUAAAAAAUAAGAAAGGAUUGCAAGAUCAAAAAGCCAACUGGUCUCUCAAGUCCCUAAUAAACUUUGUAGCUGUCUCAGACACAUUUAGUUUUAAAAAAAAAACCAGGUUAACCCCCUGGCCAGGUUCUUGCCUCCCAAGUACAGAUCACUGACGCGGGCUGCGUGUGGGAACUCGUCUCCUCUUUGUAUUUUUCAAUUCUUUGCCGGGUUGUAGCAGUUUCCUCUACCUGAGUCCAGCCGCCAAACACAACAGCUUCUUCCUUCCUCCACCCUUCUCUCCUACCAGACUCAACUUCUUGGAACCCACCCAGAACACCAUUCAGAUGCAAGUCGAAUGCCCCCACUUAAUUUACUGAAUUGGAGAAGAUGGAGAAAAGGGACAGAAAAAUUAGGUCAAGGCACCGUAGAACUGCGGGGCAAAUAGUGAGAGGGCAGGCGUCUGCUGUAGUAGCGACGAAGCGUGAAAAAAAUACGACGGAGUCCCCGAGGGAAGAGAACCCGGAGCUGUGAGCGCCAUCCUCCUGUGGACAGUAGGCGGCGGCUUUAAAAGACAGCCCGGGAGAAGAAUUUCCAAUAAACAGCCUAAAGGCGGAGCCUAGGGAGAAGACAGAAAGUUACACUCGCGCUGCUCUGAAAAAGGGGGCUCGGCUGCCCCCAAGACCCAGAAUCUCGUCCUGGGUGAUGUUUUUGUUGUCAGUUUCACUCUUGGUAGUUUUCUCCUUAGAGCUCAGAAGUGGCUCAUAAGCCACCCAAGAUUUGUGUGUGUCCUUUAACAGCUUAGGAGAGAGACGAAGACCAAAAUUACUUAAAAGAAAACACCUGUGUGGUAGCCGAAUGUCCCGGCGGGGCGGCUCAGCAAGCUCGCCUCCCAGGUGCAGUUCCUCGCAGGGGGGAAGUCAGGCAGCCCCCAAAACUUCUGCGAAGGCGCACGCUUCCUGGCCCCAUUGCCCCUCCCACCUCGAGCACACGAUUUUAAUCCUUCCUCGAGGAUGUUUACGGUGAGGCGACGCUCGCUCAAUUUCACUAUGCUCCUAAACCGACAUAUUUUUAGAGUUUGGAAAUUUCACAGUCUGUUUCUGACCCUUUUUAUUCAAUUUAAUAAAUACUUAUUGAGCAUUUUCUAU